GACGAAGGGGGCUAGCGUUGUUCGGAAUUACUGGGCGUAAAAGCGAGUGUAGGUGGUUGUCAUAGUCAGGCGUGAAAGCCUUGAGCUCAACUCAAGAAAUGCGCUUGAUACUGGGCAGCUAGAGGACCGGAGAGGAUAGUGGAAUUCCCAGUGUAGUGGUGAAAUACGUAGAGAUUGGGAAGAACACCAGUGGCGAAGGCGGCUAUCUGGACGGUUUCUGACACUAAGACUCGAAAGCGUGGGGAGCAAACAGG
rnacentral:rRNA from 1 species